rnacentral:rRNA from 1 species
CCCUUAGAUGUUCUGGGCUGCACGCGCGCUACACUGAAGCGUUCAACGAGUAUUCACCUUGCCCGGGAGGGUUGGGUAAUCUUUUGAAAACGCUUCGUGAUGGGGAUAGAUUAUUGCAAUUAUUAAUCUUCAACGAGGAAUUCCUAGUAAGCGCGAGUCAUCAGCUCGUGCUGAUUACGUCCCUGCCCUUUGUACACACCGCCCGUCGCUCCUACCGAUUGAGUGGUCCGGUGAGGCUUUGGGAUCUGAGCAAAAAGAGCGUUUCGCUCGUUUGGCUCGGAAAACUCAGUCGAACCUUAUCAUUUAGAGGAAGGAGAAGUCGUAACA